AUUGAACGCUGGCGGCAGGCCUAACACAUGCAAGUCGAGCGGAUGAGUGGAGCUUGCUCCAUGAUUCAGCGGCGGACGGGUGAGUAAUGCCUAGGAAUCUGCCUGGUAGUGGGGGGCAACGUUUCGAAAGGAACGCUAAUACCGCAUACGUCCUACGGGAGAAAGCAGGGGACCUUCGGGCCUUGCGCUAUCAGAUGAGCCUAGGUCGGAUUAGCUAGUAGGUGAGGUAAUGGCUCACCUAGGCGACGAUCCGUAACUGGUCUGAGAGGAUGAUCAGUCACACUGGAACUGAGACACGGUCCAGACUCCUACGGGAGGCAGCAGUGGGGAAUAUUGGACAAUGGGCGAAAGCCUGAUCCAGCCAUGCCGCGUGUGUGAAGAAGGUCUUCGGAUUGUAAAGCACUUUAAGUUGGGAGGAAGGGCAGUAAGUUAAUACCUUGCUGUUUGACGUUACCAACAGAAUAAGCAACCGGCUAAACUUCGU
rnacentral:rRNA from 1 species